rnacentral:lncRNA from 1 species
AGAUUUAUUCGCAGACCAACACUUAAACUGGUGAUGGUGGGAGGUAUACUAAACCGACAGGUGACGAAGGACGAUCCAGAGGCUCCAGGAAGAAAGAGGCUUUGGUUUACCGGACUUGAUGUUACAAUUCUGGAACACAUCGCAACUGCAUUAAAUAUGUCGUACACGUUCGUGACGCCUCCUGAUAGGUCCCUAGGAACCCUGAGGGAAGAUGGAACCUGGUCCGGGAUGGUGGGGAUGGUGGCAAGAAAGGAGGUGGAUCUUAGCCCACA